AACGUCGCAAGACCAAAGAGGGGGACCUUCGGGCCUCUUGCCAUCGGAUGUGCCCAGAUGGGAUUAGCUAGUAGGUGGGGUAACGGCUCACCUAGGCGACGAUCCCUAGCUGGUCUGAGAGGAUGACCAGCCACACUGGAACUGAGACACGGUCCAGACUCCUACGGGAGGCAGCAGUGGGGAAUAUUGCACAAUGGGCGCAAGCCUGAUGCAGCCAUGCCGCGUGUAUGAAGAAGGCCUUCGGGUUGUAAAGUACUUUCAGCGGGGAGGAAGGGAGUAAAGUUAAUACCUUUGCUCAUUGACGUUACCCGCAGAAGAAGCACCGGCUAACUCCGUGCCAGCAGCCGCGGUAAUACGGAGGGUGCAAGCGUUAAUCGGAAUUACUGGGCGUAAAGCGCACGCAGGCGGUUUGUUAAGUCAGAUGUGAAAUCCCCGGGCUCAACCUGGGAACUGCAUCUGAUACUGGCAAGCUUGAGUCUCGUAGAGGGGGGUAGAAUUCCAGGUGUAGCGGUGAAAUGCGUAGAGAUCUGGAGGAAUACCGGUGGCGAAGGCGGCCCCCUGGACGAAGACUGACGCUCAGGUGCGAAAGCGUGGGGAGCAAAC
rnacentral:rRNA from 1 species